GGUUGAUCCUGCCAGUAGUGUACGCUUGUCCAAAAGAUUAAGCCAUGCAUGUGCAAGUACAGCCCUUUGUACGGUGAAACUGCGAACGGCUCAUUAUAUCAGUUAUAAUCUACUUGAUGAUUUCUUACUACUUGGAUAACCGUGGUAAUUCUACAGCUAAUACAUGCCGCAAGGCCCUCUUUGGUGGGGGCAGCAUUUAUUAGAUAAAACCAAUGACAGAGCAAUCUGUGCAUGGCGAGUCAUGAUAACUGGGCGGAUCGUAUGGCCUUGGUGCUGACGACGCUUCAUUCGAG
rnacentral:rRNA from 1 species